rnacentral:rRNA from 1 species
UGGGGAAUAUUGCGCAAUGGGGGAAACCCUGACGCAGCAACGCCGCGUGAAGGAAGAAGGUCUUCGGAUUGUAAACUUCUUUGAUCAGGGACGAAACAAAUGACGGUACCUGAGGAACAAGCCACGGCUAACUACGUGCCAGCAGCCGCGGUAAUACGUAGGUGGCGAGCGUUAUCCGGAUUUACUGGGUGUAAAGGGCGUGUAGGCGGUUUUGCAAGUCAGAUGUGAAAUUUCCGGGCUUAACCCGGACGGGACAUCUGAAACUGCAGAACUUGAGUACUGGAGAGGAUAGCGGAAUUCCUAGUGUAGCGGUAAAAUGCGUAGAUAUUAGGAGGAACACCGGUGGCGAAGGCGGCUAUCUUGGACAGUAACUGACGCUGAGGCGCGAAAGCGUGGGGAGCAAAACA